UAGAGUUUGAUCCUGGCUCAGAUUGAACGCUGGCGGCAGGCCUAACACAUGCAAGUCGAGCGGCAGCGGGAAAGUAGCUUGCUACUUUUGCCGGCGAGCGGCGGACGGGUGAGUAAUGCCUGGGGAUCUGCCCAAUCGAGGGGGAUAACUACUGGAAACGGUAGCUAAUACCGCAUACGCCCUACGGGGGAAAGCAGGGGACCUUCGGGCCUUGCGCGAUUGGAUGAACCCAGGUGGGAUUAGCUAGUUGGUGAGGUAAUGGCUCACCAAGGCGACGAUCCCUAGCUGGUCUGAGAGGAUGAUCCGCCACACUGGAACUGAGACACGGUCCAGACUCCUACGGGAGGCAGCAGUGGGGAAUAUUGCACAAUGGGGGAAACCCUGAUGCAGCCAUGCCGCGUGUGUGAAGAAGGCCUUCGGGUUGUAAAGCACUUUCAGCGAGGAGGAAAGGUUGGUAGCGAAUAACUGCCAGCUGUGACGUUACUCGCAGAAGAAGCACCGGCUAACUCCGUGCCAGCAGCCGCGGUAAUACGGAGGGUGCAAGCGUUAAUCGGAAUUACUGGGCGUAAAGCGCACGCAGGCGGUUGGAUAAGUUAGAUGUGAAAGCCCCGGGCUCAACCUGGGAAUUGCAUUUAAAACUGUCCGGCUAGAGUCUUGUAGAGGGGGGUAGAAUUCCAGGUGUAGCGGUGAAAUGCGUAGAGAUCUGGAGGAAUACCGGUGGCGAAGGCGGCCCCCUGGACAAAGACUGACGCUCAGGUGCGAAAGCGUGGGGAGCAAACAGGAU
rnacentral:rRNA from 1 species